CCUACGGGAGGCUGCAGUGGGGAAUAUUGGACAAUGGGGGGAACCCUGAUCCAGCCAUGCCGCGUGUGUGAAGAAGGCCCUCGGGUUGUAAAGCACUUUCAGUGAGGAAGAACGCCUGGUGGUUAAUACCCAUCAGGAAAGACAUCACUCACAGAAGAAGCACCGGCUAACUCCGUGCCAGCAGCCGCGGUAAUACGGAGGGUGCGAGCGUUAAUCGGAAUUACUGGGCGUAAAGCGCGCGUAGGUGGCUUGAUAAGCCGGUUGUGAAAGCCCCGGGCUCAACCUGGGAACGGCAUCCGGAACUGUCAAGCUAGAGUGCAGGAGAGGAAGGUAGAAUUCCUGGUGUAGCGGUGAAAUGCGUAGAGAUCGGGAGGAAUACCAGUGGCGAAGGCGGCCUUCUGGACUGACACUGACACUGAGGUGCGAAAGCGUGGGUAGCAAACAGGAUUAGAUACCCUAGUAGUC
rnacentral:rRNA from 1 species